AAGUCGUAACAAGGUUUCCGUAGGUGAGUGGCCUAAAGGUACGCCUACGAAGACUUCGGCCGACUUCGAAGCGCCGUCAGUCGGCUGCGUUCUGCAGCCGGCCACGCAGCUAAUCUGUACCGGAAGCUUCUGGGCGGUCUCUCGCCCAGCGGUAACCAGCAGCUUGCGCCACGCAAGUUCACAGAUCACAAGCCUGCGGCCACGUUCUAAGCGUGGUUUAGAUAUGAUCGGUCCCCGCCUGCACUAGGCUGGCGGAGCUGCGGAACCUGCGGAAGGAUCAUUAUUGAGAGACGGGGUCUGUCCGGCCUCCACUCUUCACCCAUGAUAACCAACUAUGUUGCUUUGGCGGGCCAUCGAGCCUUUGCGCCCGACGUCGGCGAGAGGACUGCUUCUCGCCCGCCGAGUGCCCGCCGAAGGUUUGUCCAAAUGCUAUUUCAGUCGUCCGAGCCCUCCCAACAAUCAAUUAAAACUUUCAACAACGGAUCUCUUGGUUCUGGCAUCGAUGAAGAACGCAGCGAAAUGCGAUAAGUAAUGUGAAUUGCAGAAUUCAGUGAAUCAUCGAAUCUUUGAACGCACAUUGCGCCCCUUGGUACUCCGAGGGGCAUGCCUGUCCGAGCGUCAUUGCAACCCUCAAGCACUGCUUGGUAUUGGGCCCCGCCUGCACGGCGUGCCCGAAAUUCAGUGGCGGUUCACCGAGACCUUAAGCGUAGUAAGAUCCUGCAUCUCGCUUGAGCUGGCUCUGGGCUGGACCUGCCAACAAACCUUUACUAUUUUUACACGAACUGACCUCGGAUCAGGUAGGGAUACCCGCUGAACUUAAGCAUAUCAAUAAGCGGAGGACAAGAAACCAACGGGGAUUGCCCUAGUAACGGCGAG
rnacentral:misc_RNA from 1 species